rnacentral:lncRNA from 1 species
AAGACAAGGCAAGGCAAAUUUAUAAUUUCAUACACUACGCAAUUCAAAGUGCCAAAGUAUUAUGGUGAAGACACCGAAAAAUGUGAUGUCCACAUAUGUGGACGCCAGGUCCUAGGAAGUUAAGAAAAAAUAAAAAUAAAUGGAAACAAGACUCUAAUUCAUUUAAAUACUCAGAACUUCAGUAACUUGACAGGUUCUUUGAAGGUCUACUAAAGCAUCUGCUGAAACUUUUCCUGAAUUCAUUCUAGAGAUCUUUCCACCUGAAGCUUAAACCCACACGUGGGAAAGCAGCGGUUAAGCUUCCGGUUCUAAUUAUCCAGGUAGCUAACAGGUGAGUUCAGGAGUCCGGGAGUAUUUAAUAGUGUCAGUGGAUCCACGGCUUCCAGCAGUUUGUAGCUGAGUUUGGGUCGCUCCCGGCGGGCAGAGAGACGCGGAGCGGACCAUGUCGGCGGCUCCAGGACGGAUGAAAGUGAUGACGAUGAUGAUCCGAGCGUGGGUCGUUUUGAUGACCCUGACCCGGGUUAACACGGCAGGGGAAUCGCCCCGGGAAGCGGACGGAGGUUUGGCCGGGUGGGACCCGUUGUUCUCGGUCUCUGAGCCGCCGGUGGAGACCCGGAGAGGAUUUUUUCCUGUGUCGGUCUGGAAGUUUUUGGAAGUUUCAGAGCAUGUGCAGUCCUCAGACCUGGGAAGGCCUCAGUACCAGUGUAGCAACAUGUCCCUGUUGGUCCGCUUCUCCCUCAUCCGACACUCACACCUGCGACUGGAAGGUGAGUUUGAUUUGUGCACCUGCUGCAGCUGUUUCCACAUUUCAUGAGGAGAGUCCUGCUUUUCUAAAUCUGUAGUGUCCAAACUGAGUAACUGAUUCAUUGAAAUGCAGUACUAGACCCCUCCCCCCCUGCACAGAAUGUUGGAAAACAGUUGCACUUGCCUCUGGACAGUCCCAUGUUUUUUCUCUCUAGGCUAAUUUCACAUGGAUGAGGAUUUUUAUAUAGCUUAAUGUGUGAAUGCAGCCUCACUGAGAAAGCUUAGGUGCUUAGGCGAAAACGUUAAAUUAUGAGUCCACAGAACAGACUGAUCCUCUCUGUUCCAGCAGAGCAGGUAGAGCUCACACAAUCCAGAUACCUGUGUAGAGUGAAGCUGCCACCUGCUGACUGGUAAAAUCUUUAUACUUUGGUUUGUGUGAAAUAAGUGAGGUUGACUGUUUAUUCCAAACCGUCUCUACAGACAGGAGGUUGUUGCUGCAGGACAGGUGUCAAGGUUCUGUUCAGGCCUUUGGGCCAUGGCUGCUGCUGAAUCUGUCUGCCAGUUGCCACAUGGAAUCAUGGGUAAGAAUUGAAGCUUCUUGUGCAGUUUUGACUCAGCAGCCCGAAUGACAAAUAUAUUUCUAUUGAAACUAAACUGAACUAA